rnacentral:lncRNA from 1 species
UAUAUAUCUUUUUUUUUUUUUUUUCCAAUUUCCCACUCAUCUGUGUCCUUUGUUUGCCGUGUGGUGAAACUUGGUUUUUCAAUUUAACGUCUAGUGUUCAAUUAAGCAGCGGGAAAUUAAAGCUGCCUCCAUUAUUUACGCCAACUAGACGUCGUAAAUGAAAUCGUACUAACUCCCUUAUUUUCUUUUUCUUGUUCGGUGUCUUUGGUCCAGUUAACACUUGAAGCUGUAAAGCGAAUUAUUAUUUUUCUCGAGAACGUCGUAAAUUUUCACUUACAAAUUACUCAUUUCCAAUACCAACAUGGAAUAAUAUGCAAUACCUUGGCCCUUUUUAUUCUCGUGACUUUAACAUAAAUGCCUCGCAUUUAAAUUUUGGGAAUAGACACAGGAAAUAAUGCUCUUGAUUCCUGGUUCGUUAAACAAGUUACAAAUAUUAUUUGAUGGAUGUUCUAAUGACAAGGCCUCAGAUGAAAAUUGGUUUUCAUUAGAUUAAAAUGAAGCUCCCAUUCUAUUUUUUUUUUUUUUUUUUUUUUUUUAGGUUUAGGAGGUAUUUUAAUACACUUGUGAUAGCAUGAAAUUGUUACGAUGACUGAAAUCCAGUAGACAAAACACGUAGCUAACAAGCGCUCUGUGUAUACGAGAUCACACAGAGCCACUUGUUAAAUUAACAUGUUAAUUACGUUGCAGCGAAUGAGCUUUAAGAGCGUGGGAACUCACUAUAUAAACUUUUGUUUAGCACUUCAGUCAAGGAAAAGCUUGUUUACAUUUUCCACUUCAAUUGAAAACCGGGUACUUUGUUUUCGGUUACCAAUCUGGAACAAACACCUAAAGGCAAAAUUCUUUCUCUUCACCCCCUGCAAAGCGAGAAAUGGAGGGAUAGAUAAGAAGUUCCUUUUUAGGCCAAGAAAACAACAAGUGGCCUACUCCACAAUGGGCCUUAAAUGGUGACUUCGACGGAAAAUUAAACAGCAGUUAUGAAAUGAUGAAAACAAACCAUGCAUGUACUUGUAGAAAUUAAUUUUUUUCUCCAUAAAACUUACUCUGUAUCUGUUUUACUGCAAUCCUGAAGCCUUGAUCUCUACUGUUGAAUCUUUUGGCCCUGUGACAAAAUGAUUAUCUUCAAAUUGUAUCGGUUGCCUAGAGCAAGCAUCUCAUUUUCCCUUUAGAACCAUGACUGAUUACGUUGUACAACCAAAAGUACAGCUAAACUUUAUGCUGUAAAUUUAACUUUAAUCUUGUGCAUCUAGCAGUAUCACUGAUAUAGAUAAUCAUUAUACAUGUAGAUGGUUCUCCUAACUAAAGUAAUAUAGUGUUUAAUAAUCACGAGUAUUUUUCGAAACAACUGCGUAACAUAUGGACGUUUGCCGAUUUCUUGCAAUAAGUCUAAGUUAUGAAUGCAUCUGCAUAAUGCUAUUUAUAAGAAAGCGAUAAAUCUUCGAGAAGUAUCCUUACGUAGACCAUGCUAAUGGAAAACGCAAAAGGCUUCAUGAAUUCAGUCAAUUUGGGUACAUUGUCAUCGGCAUUUGUUGUUAUUCUUUUCUGAAAUCCAAACAUCUUGUCAAUACAUUCCAUGUGCGCCGGGUUACAAAUUUGGUUAAUGACAUAACACGGCCAACUUUCGAAAACAAGGCUUUUGCCUUAAUGAGGCCACAUUUAGCUACCUUAAAGUUAUUUCGUUAAAUAGGUAAUUUGAUUUAUUGUCAAAUUCUCUCGCCUGCCCUUGGUGCUUCUAUAUACGAACCUUGGUGAGCCUAUAAACGGCUUGUGUCUCCUGAACUGAUGCAAAUAAAGUGAGGAAACUAAAACAUUUCAAAUGUCUAUGAACCCUGGAUUAUAAGUUGUAUAUUCUUUGGAUUUUUCUCUGUUUUUUGCUUUCGUUACAAUGGGCACAUUUGAAGAAAGUAAAGCAAAGAAUAAAGCGACUUAUUUUGCUAAAGCAGCCCAACAUACCUCCAGUUUUGGCCACCAUGCAUCUCAGUGAACCUCCUGAACGUCCGCUACUUAAAAGAACGCCUGAGUUACCCUGCCCCUUUCAUGACCCUAGUCAAAACUAAUUUUAUGGUCAUUGAAGUAGCUCGGGUAGCUUAAUCUGCAGUUACAUAUGCAGUCAUGAGCAAACCCACACCUUUAACCGUUCCUUAACUGGUUUGUUUUCAUACCAUGCACUCAGCGAACAAGGGAAUCCCAAGGCAUGGCCACGGCCUUGGCAAUUAUCAUGAUUAGAUGCUCAACUGGACACAAAUUGGAAAAUCAUUUCCAAUGAUUUACUUCUAUUAUUGGCAAGUGAAGUUGAGGUAUCUUCUUUUGUUUGGAAAACAUGUCGAGAAUUCAGAUCAAAUGGGUUGACGCAAUGUAAGGAAUUCGUCCAAGGAGGUAUUUGCAAGCUCGCAUUUACAAGACCUUUCGGGAAUGUACUGAGGAUCGUAACACCAGAAUACUGAAGGAGUUUUGUCUCAACCGAAAUCGUGGUCAAACCGUAAAGUUCUUCUCCAGAUGUAUGGCAAGUUACUUCUCUGACAGUGAAAUGGGAUAUAAACAUGACCGAUAGCGGAAUUAACGCAUUUUGGUGGUUCGCAUUCGUGACAAUUGCAAGAAACAACUUACAAUGAUUUUGCAACUCUAGGGGGUUGUAUUUUGGAGCUUGAUCAACACUGAAAAAUCGCAAGGAGAGAAAAUCUGCCGGACGAAGUUCUAUGCCCUUUUUAUUUUGACUGGAGUUCGAGUCUGAUAACCAAGCAGGAGCGCCAAAAACAUCACGAAUCCCUACCGAUGUAUACAGAAUACCUAGCACAGAGAUUUCCGACUUGGUGCAAGACUUCAAGUGCCAGAUUUCGAAGCGAUAAUUAACAGAUCAAAACACUGGUAACGUUAAUUAUACCAAGCCGCCGUCUCCAGGCAGAUGGAUCGAUCAGGCCACAGGAAUGCACUAACGUCAUGCACUGUAGUUUCUUUCCUCUCCAAAUCAAACAUUGAUCUCCCCUUGCAAAGAUAGCAUUUCGUCUGAACAAGCCUUUGACAGAUCAACUCUUGAGAGCUAUUAAAUGCAAGGUGAAGACUUGGUGGAGACGCCAACUUGGUUAGCAAUUGUUAAGGUGAACAAUGGUAAGUGGCUCUUGACGUUUGUGUUCAAUUUGGAUUUGUUAUUUUCUUUCUACAUUUGUCAUAUAUUUCGUUCUGCAAUUAAUUUUGAUGAAAAUAUUCGAAGUAAAGUAACCAACGUAUCUAUUCUGACAGCUUAAAUGUACCUUAAUGCUUAAUAACUAUUGACCUAUCAUAAUACGGGAAUCACCUUAGUUAUUUUAUACAUAAUCUAUCCUAAAGUUCUGUUUCAAAGCUAGCCCAAUGUCUCCCGGAACAAUUAAGGUGCACCAGCAAUGCCCCUAAGCCUGAGAACCAACAGAGGUGGGGUUUCUAAAGAAUGAAUGAAAAAUAGAAUUCCUAAAUUGACUGAGGUCUACUGCAAACUUAGUGGAAUCAGAAAUUCUUGAAGGGUCAUUGUAACCACAACCGUUUGCCCACAAUUUUGAGUAACAUGAGGGUGGGUGACAUGAGGAUGAGAUUACAUGAUUGUAAAAUUAAUUCAAAUUGCCAAGCCUCUGUUCAGUAAGAGAUCAAAGAUGACUUAAAAAUGUGGCCGAGGAAACAAAUUAAACAAAUCCUGAAAUGCUAUCACCAAUAUCUGCAAUGUGGACCUCCAACAUUGGUACAGAUUGUCGCGUUUCUCUACAUUUCAGCAAAAAAAAACAAAACACCCAUUUUAACAAAAUAGAGAACGUUGGAAGAAGACUUUUAAAACUCAGGAAAUAACGAGGAUUUUCGAUUAUUUAAUAAUCUUUAGGGCGAAGACAAAUAAUCGCAAAUAUUACAUGUUUUGAAAAUAUUUUAAACAAAGGCCAGAUUGUUUCCGGACUGUCAGAUUGCUUCCGGAUUCCAUUUUUCAUCACCUGUCUUUUCUAUUUGAUAUAUGGUGUCGAAAACCACGUCUGGUAAUUGACGCUAGGGCGGAUUGGGUGUGGUGAGUAAAAAUGUUUCUAGUAAAUGUGCAUUUGCUAAACAGCAACUAGAAAUUGAAAGGUAAAUUCAUGCUUUGUGACCAUCCAAACCGUGAACGUGAUACAGUACAGUUUAAACAAAUUACGUGCUUUAUUUUUUUUGUUCUUUUCAACUUGCGUGAUACUUCAUACUGUUUAGGUCUUAUAUAUACGUUAUCUUGCUUACAACCUUUAGGUUGCUAUUUAAAUCCAUUAUUCAUAUUGUGUUUCAGUCAUCAUAAAUUGUGAAUGAACAAUUAGUCUUCCGCCUACAUUCGGGACUAUUUAUCAGUUUGCAGCGUCAUAUAAGCCGACUGCCUCUGUACAUGAAGAACUGGGAUCAGUUCUAUGGAAAAUAUUUACACUAGUGUUAUGUUUCUUAUUACUUAGACUUAAUAAGAGAAAUUGAUUUACAAUAUUUAGAAGUGUCCAAAGCCGUUUAAAUCUAUACACAGGUAAUCCCUUUUACAUAUAAUCACCUCCCUUUAUGCACACAGUUUAUACGCCGUUGGUUUCGCUGUUUUAUAACCUCUAAGUGACCUAGCGUUGACCAUAGGGUUUGUUAUUAUGCUUUGCCUUUUUGUUUCAACAAACGACAUUUGAUGUCUGCGAAAAAGAACAAAAUUAACUAAACGUAAAUUGCUCAUGGAACCGCAACACGCCGUAGGCAACAUCGGUCUAAUUCAUGUUAAUUUUAAUUGCCUUUUGCAAUGAAAAACAUCUCAAGAUCAAUGCAUAGCUCUAUAGCUCGCAAAUAUUCUUAACGACAUCAACCUAUUUGAUAUUAAAAAUUGACCGUAACGAUUUUUCUUACCAUGUUUUCAGUUAAUCGUGCUUCCCUGCGAAACCGGCUUCCAAGAAGAUUGCACGCUGUUGCGCAAUAAUGAGCUGCUCUUUGCAUGAUAUAUAAAUUUCAAUCAUACAACGUUAUCUGCCCCUGAUAACACGUUAUCAUGUACUGUGAAGAAACCCAAUGUUACCUGCAUGCAGUUGGGUACAAAAGUAAAACCACAAAAUUAAUAGACGGCCUGGUAUAUUACAAACCACGUAACGCAACAAUAAACUGUCUUAAGUUAACUUCCACCUUAAGUCUAAUUAUUGCUCGGCGAUAUUCACGUCUUUUUCAAGAGCCCUUCGAAACUUUUCCAAACUCUAAAUAUAUAUAUAUAUAUAUUUUUUUUUAACGGCUUCUUCUCUAAUCCCACUCCAAUAUUACUGAGCUAGUACUCGGUUGAUGUUUUUAAAUCCACGCAAGUCGCGACGUCAGCACCAUUCUCUUUACAAGACGAAAACUCUUUGCUUCACUUCAAAACUUCGCACGACGGAUAUAUAAUGUCAGCCGUUUAAACACGGUCUGCAGGCGCAUUUCUUUGCUUCUGGGUAGCGAAUCACUUUUAUUACUCCGUGGCAGUUCACUGAUUUUUCUUUGAUAGUAGCUUCGAUGGGUGCA